AUAGAACCGGCUGCUGUGGCGAUUAUUGAUUGCUGGGAGAGGGGGAAGCUGCAUGGACACCCCCCGCCGCACGCUGCCUUUGAGGGUGUUUAAGGUUUUUGAGGGUGUUUAAGGUUUAAGAGGGUGUUUAAGGUUAAUUUUUUUUUAACCAAAAGGCUAGCAAACUACCCCCUGAGCCAAACUGGGGGGGAGGGGGUUCGAAGGGGUGCUGGACCGAACAGGCCAGCCGGUUCCCUGCACACCCCUAGGAGAGAGACGACUAGCUCCGCAUGAGCUGGAUACUAAAUAUCCUCUCAUUUAGUAUCCAGCUUGGGUACUAAACAAGACACUGGGAAGUUCGCCUCUUUCCUGCAAGGAGAGAGGCAAACUUUCUAGUGCCUCGUGAGCUGGAUGCUAUAUGAGAGACCCACGUGUGCCCCAAUGCUUUAAUCAGAGCACAUGCGGGCCUCUCAUUUAGUAUCCAGUUCGUGUGAGGCUGGAAAGGUCGAGAGUGUCUCUCUUUGCUUGAACGAGGAGGGAGGUGAUAGAACUCUUGAGUGCUACCCAUGUUGGAUACUGACCAGGGUGUGUGUGAAGAGUGGCGGCUGAGGGGGAUUGCAGGGGUGGUUGGGCCUGGUCGUGGGGCCUGGGAGAGUGUGGGGCUGGAGGCAAUCACCCUGCUCACCCCUCCCAAAGGACAGGCCUGGGCCUUUAACAUCAAAUUCUACUCGCUUUUAUCAAAGCUUGUUUUAUCAUCAGUUCAAAGCUUGUUUUACACCAGCCUGGAAGAUACUGAGUUCACAUGCUGCAAUGGAAGCCUGAAUGCACACGAAUGGAGCCAACAACUCAGGGACUCCCGACAUUCCAGAGCUCUGUGGGCUGAACUGCUGCUGAUGGAAAGGAGGGCUGGAGAUCUUCUCCUGCACAAACGACCCUGGGGAUGGUUCUGUGGACGACAGAGUAGGCCAGGAAGACGGCUGGCUUUGCUGGCACUGCUGGACCAAGGCAUGCUGCUGUCGGUUGGCUGCUAUUUGUUUCAACUGCUGAGCGUGAGAAACCUCUUGCCAGUUGGCCAAAGGUCGGUUGGAAACUGAAGACAACUGAGAGGGAGGCGUUUGAGUCUGAGGCACCGAAGGAAUUGGUGAUGAGGUGGACAUGGCAGCACCGGACAUGGGAAGAAGAUCUGACUGGGGGAGCUCUCUGGAUCUGCUGCCCAAGGUCAAUGUUAAAAGGCUCAUCUUGCUUAAUGGUGGCGUUGAUCAUGUUCUCUAGUUCAAGAUCACUCAUGGGCGGCACCGAAAUAUUAGUCAGUUCAUUGAAUAGCUCCUGAAGUUCUGGGUC